GAUGAACGCUGGCGGCGUGCUUAACACAUGCAAGUCGAACGAUGAAGCCCAGCUUGCUGGGUGGAUUAGUGGCGAACGGGUGAGUAACACGUGAGUAACCUGCCCUUAACUCUGGGAUAAGCCUGGGAAACUGGGUCUAAUACCGGAUAGGAGCGCCUACCGCAUGGUGGGUGUUGGAAAGAUUUAUCGGUUUUGGAUGGACUCGCGGCCUAUCAGCUUGUUGGUGAGGUAAUGGCUCACCAAGGCGACGACGGGUAGCCGGCCUGAGAGGGUGACCGGCCACACUGGGACUGAGACACGGCCCAGACUCCUACGGGAGGCAGCAGUGGGGAAUAUUGCACAAUGGGCGCAAGCCUGAUGCAGCGACGCCGCGUGAGGGAUGACGGCCUUCGGGUUGUAAACCUCUUUCAGUAGGGAAGAAGCGAAAGUGACGGUACCUGCAGAAGAAGCACCGGCUAACUACGUGCCAGCAGCCGCGGUAAUACGUAGGGUGCGAGCGUUAUCCGGAAUUAUUGGGCGUAAAGAGCUCGUAGGCGGUUUGUCGCGUCUGUCGUGAAAGUCCGGGGCUUAACCCCGGAUCUGCGGUGGGUACGGGCAGACUAGAGUGCAGUAGGGGAGACUGGAAUUCCUGGUGUAGCGGUGGAAUGCGCAGAUAUCAGGAGGAACACUGAUGGCGAAGGCAGGUCUCUGGCUGUAACUGACGCUGAGGAGCGAAAGCAUGGGGAGCGAACAGGAUUAGAUACCCUGGUAGUCCAUGCCGUAAACGUUGGGCACUAGGUGUGGGGACCAUUCCACGGUUUCCGCGCCGCAGCUAACGCAUUAAGUGCCCCGCCUGGGGAGUACGGCCGCAAGGCUAAAACUCAAAGGAAUUGACGGGGGCCCGCACAAGCGGCGGAGCAUGCGGAUUAAUUCGAUGCAACGCGAAGAACCUUACCAAGGCUUGACAUGUUCUCGAUCGCCGUAGAGAUACGGUUUCCCCUUUGGGGCGGGUUCACAGGUGGUGCAUGGUUGUCGUCAGCUCGUGUCGUGAGAUGUUGGGUUAAGUCCCGCAACGAGCGCAACCCUCGUUCCAUGUUGCCAGCACGUAAUGGUGGGGACUCAUGGGAGACUGCCGGGGUCAACUCGGAGGAAGGUGAGGACGACGUCAAAUCAUCAUGCCCCUUAUGUCUUGGGCUUCACGCAUGCUACAAUGGCCGGUACAAUGGGUUGCGAUACUGUGAGGUGGAGCUAAUCCCAAAAAGCCGGUCUCAGUUCGGAUUGGGGUCUGCAACUCGACCCCAUGAAGUCGGAGUCGCUAGUAAUCGCAGAUCAGCAACGCUGCGGUGAAUACGUUCCCGGGCCU
rnacentral:rRNA from 1 species